AUAAGAUUUGUACCACUAUGACGUCAAGUGAAUGUGACGACAUUUCGGAUACAGUAAAUGAAAAUCAAAAUAUUGAUUCCUCGACGACAAACAUUGUAACUAAUUCAAUGGAGUUGGAUAUACUAAAUUCUUCAAAUACUUGUACUAUCUAUCUGGAUUAUCCAUAUCAAUUGGAGGCUUGUUAUGUGGAUGAUGAAAUUGUCAACCUUGAGAGUCUAUUUGAAGGAGAAGGA